GACGAGCGCUGGCGGCGUGCCUAAUACAUGCAAGUAGAACGCUGAAGCGAGGAGCUUACUCUUCUUGGAUGAGUUGCGAACGGGUGAGUAACGCGUAGGUAACCUGCCUUGUAGCGGGGGAUAACUAUUGGAAACGAUAGCUAAUACCGCAUAACAAUGGAUGACACAUGUCAUUUAUUUGAAAGGGGCAAUUGCUCCACUACAAGAUGGACCUGCGUUGUAUUAGCUAGUAGGUGAGGUAAUGGCUCACCUAGGCGACGAUACAUAGCCGACCUGAGAGGGUGAUCGGCCAGACUGGGACUGAGACACGGCCCAGACUCCUACGGGAGGCAGCAGUAGGGAAGCUUCGGCAAUGGGGGCAACCCUGACCGAGCAACGCCGCGUGAGUGAAGAAGGUUGUCGGAUCGGAAAGCUCGGUUGUAAGUCAAGAACGGGUGUGAGAGUGGAAAGUUCACACUGUGACGGUAGCUUACCAGAAAGAGACGGCUAACUACGUG
rnacentral:rRNA from 1 species